rnacentral:tRNA from 1 species
GAGAUGGCUCAGUGGUUAAGAGCACUGGAGCACUGACUGCUAUUCCAGAUGACCUGGGUUCAAUUCCCAGAACCUCA